rnacentral:lncRNA from 1 species
CAACAUGCUUCUCACUUCUAGUCUGAGACUCCAAGAUUUGUUUCAGUAAGGUAUCAGUGCUGCUCUCUUGAGGAGCAGUGGAACCAGACGACGGGUUUUGCUGAGACUGAUAGCUGCCUUGCUGGUUGUUUCUAGGCGGAUAACCACUCUGUUGGUUGUUGGGAUAGGAUUUCUGUUGGUAGUUGUUGUACUGAAAGUUGGGCUCUUUUUUGUACCAGCUACCAUUGUUGUUGAUGAAACACAGCUCUUCCUGACCUUCCAAACCCUCAAC